AUUGAACGCUGGCGGAAUGCUUUACACAUGCAAGUCGAACGGCAGCACGGACUUCGGUCUGGUGGCGAGUGGCGAACGGGUGAGUAACAUAUCGGAACGUAUCCAAUAAUGGGGGAUAACGAGUCGAAAGAUUCGCUAAUACCGCAUACGCCCUACGGGGGAACGCUGGGGACCUUCGGGCCUGGCGUUAAUGGAGCGGCCGAUAUCAGAUUAGGUAGUUGGUGGGGUAAAGGCCCACCAAGCCAACGCUCUGUAGCUGGUCUGAGAGGACGACCAGCCACACUGGAACUGAGACACGGUCCAGACUCCUACGGGAGGCAGCAGUGGGGAAUUUUGGACAAUGGGCGAAAGCCUGAUCCAGCCAUUCCGCGUGCAGGAUGAAGGCCCUCGGGUUGUAAACUGCUUUUGUACAGAACGAAAAGGUUUCUACUAAUACUAGGAGCUCAUGACGGUACUGUAAGAAUAAGCACCGGCUAACUACGUGCCAGCCGCCGCAGUAA
rnacentral:rRNA from 1 species